rnacentral:rRNA from 1 species
ACGGCGAGUGAAGCGGCAACAGCUCAAAUUUGAAAUCUGGCCCUUUCAGGGUCCGAGUUGUAAUUUGGAGAAGAUGCUUCGGGUGUGGCCCCGGUCUAAGUUCCUUGGAACAGGACGUCACAGAGGGUGAGAAUCCCGUACGUGCCCGGUGGCCUCCCCCGUGUGAAGCUCUUUCGACGAGUCGAGUUGUUUGGGAAUGCAGCUCAAAAUGGGUGGUAAAUUUCAUCUAAAGCUAAAUAUUGGCCAGAGACCGAUAGCGCACAAGUAGAGUGAUCGAAAGAUGAAAAGCACUUUGGAAAGAGAGUUAAACAGUACGUGAAAUUGUUGAAAGGGAAGCGCUUGCAACCAGACUUGCGCGUGGUCGAUCAUCCGGUGUUCGCACCGGUGCACUCGGCCGCGCGCAGGCCAGCAUCGGUUUGGGUGGUUGGAUAAAGGCCUCGGGAAUGUGGCUCUCUUCGGGGAGUGUUAUAGCCCGAGGUGCAAUGCAGCCUACCUGGACCGAGGACCGCGCUUCGGCUAGGA